GGGUUGUGAGGUUAAGCGACUAAGCGUACACGGUGGAUGCCCUGGCAGUCAGAGGCGAUGAAGGACGUGCUAAUCUGCGAUAAGCGUCGGUAAGGUGAUAUGAACCGUUAUAACCGGCGAUUUCCGAAUGGGGAAACCCAGUGUGAUUUGUCACACUAUCAUUAACUGAAUCCAUAGGUUAAUGAGGCGAACCGGGGGAACUGAAACAUCUAAGUACCCCGAGGAAAAGAAAUCAACCGAGAUUCCCCCAGUAGCGGCGAGCGAACGGGGAGCAGCCCAGAGCCUGAAUCAGUGUGUGUGUUAGUGGAAGCGUCUGGAAAGGCGCGCGAUACAGGGUGACAGCCCCGUACACAAAAAUGCACAUGCUGUGAGCUCGAUGAGUAGGGCGGGACACGUGGUAUCCUGUCUGAAUAUGGGGGGACCAUCCUCCAAGGCUAAAUACUCCUGACUGACCGAUAGUGAACCAGUACCGUGAGGGAAAGGCGAAAAGAACCCCGGCGAGGGGAGUGAAAAAGAACCUGAAACCGUGUACGUACAAGCAGUGGGAGCCUCUUUUAUGGGGUGACUGCGUACCUUUUGUAUAAUGGGUCAGCGACUUAUAUUCUGUAGCAAGGUUAACCGAAUAGGGGAGCCGAAGGGAAACCGAGUCUUAACUGGGCGUUAAGUUGCAGGGUAUAGACCCGAAACCCGGUGAUCUAGCCAUGGGCAGGUUGAAGGUUGGGUAACACUAACUGGAGGACCGAACCGACUAAUGUUGAAAAAUUAGCGGAUGACUUGUGGCUGGGGGUGAAAGGCCAAUCAAACCGGGAGAUAGCUGGUUCUCCCCGAAAGCUAUUUAGGUAGCGCCUCGUGAAUUCAUCUCCGGGGGUAGAGCACUGUUUCGGCAAGGGGGUCAUCCCGACUUACCAACCCGAUGCAAACUGCGAAUACCGGAGAAUGUUAUCACGGGAGACACACGGCGGGUGCUAACGUCCGUCGUGAAGAGGGAAACAACCCAGACCGCCAGCUAAGGUCCCAAAGUCAUGGUUAAGUGGGAAACGAUGUGGGAAGGCCCAGACAGCCAGGAUGUUGGCUUAGAAGCAGCCAUCAUUUAAAGAAAGCGUAAUAGCUCACUGGUCGAGUCGGCCUGCGCGGAAGAUGUAACGGGGCUAAACCAUGCACCGAAGCUGCGGCAGCGACACUGUGUGUUGUUGGGUAGGGGAGCGUUCUGUAAGCCUGUGAAGGUGUACUGUGAGGUAUGCUGGAGGUAUCAGAAGUGCGAAUGCUGACAUAAGUAACGAUAAAGCGGGUGAAAAGCCCGCUCGCCGGAAGACCAAGGGUUCCUGUCCAACGUUAAUCGGGGCAGGGUGAGUCGACCCCUAAGGCGAGGCCGAAAGGCGUAGUCGAUGGGAAACAGGUUAAUAUUCCUGUACUUGGUGUUACUGCGAAGGGGGGACGGAGAAGGCUAUGUUGGCCGGGCGACGGUUGUCCCGGUUUAAGCGUGUAGGCUGGUUUUCCAGGCAAAUCCGGAAAAUCAAGGCUGAGGCGUGAUGACGAGGCACUACGGUGCUGAAGCAACAAAUGCCCUGCUUCCAGGAAAAGCCUCUAAGCAUCAGGUAACAUCAAAUCGUACCCCAAACCGACACAGGUGGUCAGGUAGAGAAUACCAAGGCGCUUGAGAGAACUCGGGUGAAGGAACUAGGCAAAAUGGUGCCGUAACUUCGGGAGAAGGCACGCUGAUAUGUAGGUGAAGUCCCUCGCGGAUGGAGCUGAAAUCAGUCGAAGAUACCAGCUGGCUGCAACUGUUUAUUAAAAACACAGCACUGUGCAAACACGAAAGUGGACGUAUACGGUGUGACGCCUGCCCGGUGCCGGAAGGUUAAUUGAUGGGGUCAGCGCAAGCGAAGCUCUUGAUCGAAGCCCCGGUAAACGGCGGCCGUAACUAUAACGGUCCUAAGGUAGCGAAAUUCCUUGUCGGGUAAGUUCCGACCUGCACGAAUGGCGUAAUGAUGGCCAGGCUGUCUCCACCCGAGACUCAGUGAAAUUGAACUCGCUGUGAAGAUGCAGUGUACCCGCGGCAAGACGGAAAGACCCCGUGAACCUUUACUAUAGCUUGACACUGAACAUUGAGCCUUGAUGUGUAGGAUAGGUGGGAGGCUUAGAAGUGUGGACGCCAGUCUGCAUGGAGCCGACCUUGAAAUACCACCCUUUAAUGUUUGAUGUUCUAACGUGGACCCGUGAUCCGGGUUGCGGACAGUGUCUGGUGGGUAGUUUGACUGGGGCGGUCUCCUCCUAAAGAGUAACGGAGGAGCACGAAGGUUGGCUAAUCCUGGUCGGACAUCAGGAGGUUAGUGCAAUGGCAUAAGCCAGCUUGACUGCGAGCGUGACGGCGCGAGCAGGUGCGAAAGCAGGUCAUAGUGAUCCGGUGGUUCUGAAUGGAAGGGCCAUCGCUCAACGGAUAAAAGGUACUCCGGGGAUAACAGGCUGAUACCGCCCAAGAGUUCAUAUCGACGGCGGUGUUUGGCACCUCGAUGUCGGCUCAUCACAUCCUGGGGCUGAAGUAGGUCCCAAGGGUAUGGCUGUUCGCCAUUUAAAGUGGUACGCGAGCUGGGUUUAGAACGUCGUGAGACAGUUCGGUCCCUAUCUGCCGUGGGCGCUGGAGAACUGAGGGGGGCUGCUCCUAGUACGAGAGGACCGGAGUGGACGCAUCACUGGUGUUCGGGUUGUCAUGCCAAUGGCACUGCCCGGUAGCUAAAUGCGGAAGAGAUAAGUGCUGAAAGCAUCUAAGCACGAAACUUGCCCCGAGAUGAGUUCUCCCUGACCCUUUAAGGGUCCUGAAGGAACGUUGAAGACGACGACGUUGAUAGGCCGGGUGUGUAAGCGCAGCGAUGCGUUGAGCUAACCGGUACUAAUGAACCGUGAGGCUUAACCUUACAACGCCGAAGGUGUUU
rnacentral:rRNA from 1 species